rnacentral:tRNA from 1 species
CGGAUGUGGUGAAGUGGUUAACACACCUGGCUGUGAACCAGGCAUUCGUCGGUUCAAUUCCGAUCAUCC